rnacentral:rRNA from 1 species
AUUGAACGCUGGCGGCAGGCCUAACACAUGCAAGUCGAACGGUAACAGGAAACAGCUUGCUGUUUCGCUGACGAGUGGCGGACGGGUGAGUAAUGUCUGGGAAACUGCCUGAUGGAGGGGGAUAACUACUGGAAACGGUAGCUAAUACCGCAUAACGUCGCAAGACCAAAGAGGGGGACCCUCGGGCCUCUUGCCAUCGGAUGUGCCCAGAUGGGAUUAGCUUGUUGGUGGGGUAACGGCUCACCAAGGCGACGAUCCCUAGCUGGUCUGCGAGGAUGACCAGCCACACUGGAACUGGGACACGGUCCAGACUCCUACGGGAGGCAGCAGUGGGGAAUAUUGCACAAUGGGCGCAAGCCUGAUGCAGCCAUGCCGCGUGUAUGAAGAAGGCCUUCGGGUUGUAAAGUACUUUCAGCGGGGAGGAAGGGAGUAAAGUUAAUACCUUUGCUCAUUGACGUUACCCGCAGAAGAAGCACCGGCUAACUCCGUG